GAAGUGGUAGCUCAGUAAUAGAACUCUCGCCUUCUAUGUGGGAGACCUGGGUUCGAUUCCCAGCCAAUAUA
rnacentral:tRNA from 1 species